UGGGUAGUCCGCACGAGCGCACCACGUUUUUAGUUGCCAGCAUUUAGUUGGGCACUCUAGAAAGACCGCCGGUGAUAAACCGGAGGAAGGUGUGGAUGACGUCAAGUCAUCAUGCCCCUUACGUCCUGGGCUACACACGUACUACAAUGCUACGGACAAAGGGCAGCAAACUCGCGAGAGCUAGCAAAUCCCAUAAACCGAGGCUCAGUUCAGAUCGUAGGCUGCAACUCGCCUACGUGAAGUAGGAAUCGCUAGUAAUCGCAGGUCAGCAUACUGCGGUGAAUACGUUCCCGGGCCUUGUACACACCGCCCGUCACACCAUGGAAGUUGGCCACGCCCGAAGUCGUUACUUUAACCCUUGUGGAGAAGGACGCCGAAGGUGGGGCUGACGACUGGGGUGAAGUCGUAACAAGGUAGCCGUACCGGAAGGUGCGGCUGGAUCACCUCCU
rnacentral:rRNA from 1 species